UACUAUAUUGUCUCAUAAUUAACAUGAUUUACAGGGUAAAUUUAAAAAAAUUCUCUCCGUGUGCUUAUUCGUUAAUCUGAAAAUAGUUUGGCCGUCAUCGCUUUCGGAUGAUCUCGGAGAUCGCGGAGUUAACACACGAAUUGUCGAAUGAUCGCGCGCGAUUUAGUGUGACGGAAUACGCGAAUCGAUGUGAUUUAUUUUUUAACGGAAAUGUUGCAGCGGUGUGUCGAUUGCACUUGUAUCUCCGCGGUAUUUUAUUUAUGCUCGAAUUGAAUCGCGAGUGUGUCUCGAGCGUUACAUUUAGCGGAUGCAAGUUAUUCACUCGGUUCGGUUGGCCGUCGACUCGACUCGGCGUUAACUUUGCGUCUUAACUUCGAAAAUGGCAAAAUAUACCACGCGAUUGUUAUCCGCGUUUUCGCGCGUUUUAGUGUCUCACGUUGAGAAAGUUUUACGAAACUGACAAUUCAGAUAACCUGGCUGAGAGGAAGUGAAAGUGACGAUGCGGAGAUCGCACAUCGAAGGAAUCUAACGAAAUUGACAAUCCAGACAGCCUGAGAGGAGGUGAAGAGGUCUGGGAGAGGCAUCGGGCGCCAGCGGAACAAUCUUGCGAAUCGUCGUAGCUACGUGCAGGCCGAUUAACUCCGCUGUUGCGCAUCGGUUGGUGAGUGAAAAAAAAAUUUUGAUCAAUGAUUUUGAU